rnacentral:rRNA from 1 species
UACGGAGGGUGCAAGCGUUAAUCGGAAUUACUGGGCGUAAAGCGCGCGUAGGCGGUUUGUUAAGUUGGAUGUGAAAUCUCCGGGCUCAACCUGGGAACUGCAUCCAAAACUGGCAAGCUAGAGUAUGGUAGAGGGUGGUGGAAUUUCCUGUGUAGCGGUGAAAUGCGUAGAUAUAGGAAGGAACACCAGUGGCGAAGGCGACCACCUGGACUGAUACUGACACUGAGGUGCGAAAGCGUGGGGAGCAAACAGG